rnacentral:misc_RNA from 1 species
AAAAAAAAACAAAAAAAAAAAUGACAACAAAUUCCUGAAACAGCAUACUUGGUGGGUGUUAAGCAUUAACUUUACAUUUGUUUGUUCAGUAUCUGAUACAGAGAAGUUAGUUAUCUUAUGAACUGUGACAGUUAUGUUAUAUCAUGAAUUUAUUGUUUUAUGCAUGUGGGAAUAUCUUCUGGCAUUGAAGCAAACUUCAAAAAUUUUUAUUUUGUAGUUUCACUGUUUCCCCCUUGACCUGACUUUCCAAUUGUUUCUGAUGUCAGGAUAACAAAUUUAUAAUUCAUGUUGCUGUGCGUUAAUCAUUUACUUGAACGUGUUGUCCUGGAGUUAGAUAUGAUAGCCUCUUCUCCUGCCUCACAAAUCCAAGUGUUGGAUCAUGGAUGUUUUGCAUGUAGCCUUAACAAUCUAUGUUGAAAGUUGAAUACUGCCAAAAGGCCGCUGAUAUUUCAUUUAAUCAUUUUCAUUGUUUGGAUUUUGUGUCACACUCUUUGAUUGGGUGAAUUCCCAAUAUUCUUAACUUGCAGUUUCUGAAUUUGUAGUUGCAGAUCGACAUCCACCAAA